UGUUCUUGGAUUUCUUCCAAAUACCAAGGAUGGUAUUAAGUAUUAGGCACAGUGAACAAAACAGAGUCUCUUCCCUCCUGGAGCUUAUUGUCUUUUUAAAAAAGUAUGUGUGGGAGUUCCAGUGGUGGCUCAGCAGUAACAAACCCAACUAGGAUUCAUGAGAAUUCAGGUUCAAUCCCCAGCCUCGCUCAUGGGUUAAGGAUCCAGUGUUGCCGUGAGCUGUGGUGUAGGUCACGGACUCGGCUUGGAUCCUGAAUUGCUGUGGCUCUGGCACAGGCCUUCAGCUACAGCUCCAAUUAGCCCCCUAGCCUGGGAACCUCCAUAUGCCGCAGGUGUGGCCCUAAAAAGAACAAAAAAAAAAAAAAAAAAAAAAAAAAAAUUCACAGCAAUCAUCUUCCUAAUUUUAAGACCAUGUUCUUAAUAACAGUGGCCUAAGAGUGGCCAAAUGUCCUGUGUAGAAGAGAAAUAUGCUGAAUGUUAGCUUCUACUGUGGUCUUCCUUUUAUUUUAUUUUAUUUUUUUUUUUUUCUUUUUAGAGCCGCACCUGCGGCAUAUUCAAGUUCCUAGGCUGGAGGUUGAAUCAAAGCUGCCAGCCCACCCCACAGCCACAGCCACGCCAGAUCCCAGCCACAUCAGCGACCUAUGCCACAGCUUGCAGCAACAUCAGAUCAUUAACCCACAGAGGGGGGCCAGGGAUCAAACCCAUAUCCUCAUGGAUACCAGUCAGGUUCUUAACUCACUGAGCCACAACGGGAGCUCCAGGACACGAGUUUUCCAAACUUAGUUUUUCUCUCCUUUCCUCUCUCCUUCCACUUCUUUUCGCUCACUCAGUGUUGUGAGUCAAUGUGAAAACCCUCUUCUUCAUACUUGCACCUCACAGGGAUGUCUGGCGUCAGCUGAUCCCUUCACGGCCCCUGCUUUCAUAUUGCCCUUAACCAUGGCCUCUCCACAUGGUCUAGCGUCCACCCCAAGCUCCAUUCAGGAUGACACUGAAAAGACGCUGCAACAGUCCUUUCCCCACAAGUGAGAGUAAGAGCCCCCACCUGCACCCACAGGACAGCUGGGCACACCUGAGGUCUGAUCACUAGACUCUCAUUUCGGAUCUCCCGCCCCACCGACACCCUCCUCCCUCCAAAAUGAAAGUCAUUAUUCUAACAUAAAACCCAUUUCUUUAUUCAGUUGUCUACUCCUAUCACUCUUCAACAUCUCUAGAUUUAUCCCAUUUAAGGAAAAAAAAAAAAAAA
rnacentral:lncRNA from 1 species